GCUCACAAAAUGGGUACGUGCUAAAUUCCUUCAGCUUACAAGUCCUGGAAUCCUCAUCCAACCAAAUAAUUCACUCUUGAGAAUUUCAGUUUCAAAUAUCUCAUUCAUUACAAUGCAAUCCAAAAGAAAUGCAAAUGAAACCACUCCAAUUUCAGUUUCAGAUAACAUUAAAAUGGUACAUCUAGAAACCAAAGAAAAGCCAUCAUGAUAUGAACUCAAAGGAAAAGAGGGUUACGUCUCAAACCAAACAUCAAACAGGCCAUGGGCAACUCCCCCCGGAGAGCAUAUAAAUCAAAGUAUGGGAAAACAUAUACAAAGACAACAUUAUAAACUUAAACCUUACCCGGUCGAGUAGGCGGGAGUCCGAAUCAGAAAAGAAAGCGCCAUUAACUUUUCCGUCGAACUCGCAGCGAAUUCUUUUGGGUAAUUUUUUAGCAACAGCAUGUUUUGAGGAAGUGAAACGUGGGCGAGAAGAGUGGGAAUGGAGAGAAGGGGAUGAGAGAAACGAUAGUUGGUAUGGUUUGCAAGAACAGAAAGAGAAAGAAUGGUGGUGGGGUUUUAGCUUUAGCGAGAAUACUAAUGAUGAAUCCAUUCUACAUCCAAUUUCUAUCACGUAAGAUUAAUGGACUAUGAAGAUGAGAAAAAUAUGGAUGUUGAAAACAAGAACAGUGGGGAAAAAGCAAACUGAAAGGGGAGAGUGAAGAAGAAGGUUGAAACGGGUUCAACACCCAAAACGCCCGUGAGCGGCGCCGUUUUGCUUGCUCGCUUCUGAAGAAUUAAGGCGGAAACUUUUUCAUAAAUACACAUAUAUAUAUAUAUAUGUAUGUAUGUAUAUAGAAGGAACAGUUAGCAAA
rnacentral:lncRNA from 1 species